AGCACCUAGAAGCCUAGGGUGGGCGGGGCGAGGAAGUAGAGGCGGAGAGAGUGGCGUGGAGGACGACGGGAAGAAAGUGCUUGCGCCGCGUUUAUGACGUUUCCAGGGUGUAGGUUUGAGGGAGAGGCUGAGUAAUGUUCCGCGGCCUUGAGAAAAAUAUUCCCCUAAUGAGAAAACCGAAAAGCGAGCGGAGAAAAUGAAUUCCCAAGUUUUUUUUUUCGCCGAUUAUAUUUUGUGUAUUCUGCCCUUCACAGCCGGCGCGUAGCCAUAGGCUGUGACUCAGCAUAUAAAAAGCGGAACGCCGGAAGUAUUUUUCGCCGCCGGAUGGGAGCUGCGAGAGAGCUAAACUAAGCUGAAUGCCAGAUAGCCGUUAAGGUUUUUCACCUUAUCGCCAGGCAAACCUUGGUGCUGUUUGCCCUCAGAGCCUAAGAAAGUGCUUUAAAGACCAGUGUGCUCAUUCUUCCAUGCGAAAACAUUAGCUACCCCACAGCCUAGAGUCCACAGCAUUAUGUUCAGCUAACUUUAAUUAAGUAGCCACAGCUUCCCUGGCUACUACCCUGAAGUACCUUUUCCAAAGUUUUUUCUGCUUGUAAUGGUCUUUGGUGGGCCAUGAUCUAAACUGUAACUGAAACAGACAUACUUGGAAAAUGAAAAGCAACUGCCAUGUUAAUGAAGUACAAUAUACUGACACCGAUGAUCAUCUAUCAGUUUUUAAGCUAAGAACUCCUCUGGACUUCCCUCCUUCAAGGAAAUGGUUUUUCUUGUAUAUCCAGCCCCCAGCUUAGCUUCCCAGUCAGUACAUUGUGAAGCAGUCAGUAAUGUUUGUUGUUGAAUAAAUACCUGAAGUGACAUGUC